AGGACGAACGCUGGCGGCGUGCUUAACACAUGCAAGUCGAACGGGCGAUUGAAAGCUUGCUUUGAUGAGCCUAGUGGCAAACGGGUGAGUAACGCGUAGGCAACCUGCCCUCAGGAUGGGGACAACGGCCCGAAAGGACCGCUAAUACCGAAUGAAGUGUCGGAAUCGCAUGAUACUGAUACCAAAGGCGGAGCAAUCCGUCACCUGAGGAUGGGCCUGCGUCUGAUUAGGUAGUUGGUGAGGUAACGGCCCACCAAGCCGACGAUCAGUAGCCGGUCUGAGAGGAUGAACGGCCACAUUGGGACUGAGACACGGCCCAGACUCCUACGGGAGGCAGCAGUGGGGAAUCUUCCGCAAUGGGCGAAAGCCUGACGGAGCAACGCCGCGUGAGUGAAAGAAGGUCUUCGGAUCGUAAAGCUCUGUUGUCGGGGACGAAGGGGCAGAUCAGGAAAUGGGUCUGCUUAGACGGUACCUGACGAGGAAGCCACGGCUAACUACGUGCCAGCAGCGGC
rnacentral:rRNA from 1 species